rnacentral:rRNA from 1 species
GAUGAACGCUAGCGGCAGGCCUAAUACAUGCAAGCCGAACGGCACGUUUGAUAGCAAUAUUGGACCUAGAGUGGCGCAAGGGUGCGUAACACGUAUGCAACCUGCCCGCGACAGGAGGAUAGCUCCCCGAAAGGGGAAUUAACCCUCCAUAACACCAUGAGAAGGCAUCUGAUUAUGGUUAAACCGCAAGGGGUCGCGGAUGGGCAUGCGGUUGAUUAGCUAGUUGGCGGGGUAAAGGCCCACCAAGGCGGUGAUCAAUAGGGGUUCUGAGAGGAAGGUCCCCCACACUGGCACUGGGAUACGGGCCAGACUCCUACGGGAGGCAGCAGUAGGGAAUAUUGGACAAUGGGUGCAAGACUGAUCCAGCCAUGCCGCGUGCAGGAAGAAGGCCUUCUGGGUCGUAAACUGCUUUUUCCUGUGGAUAAAAUACCCGUGCGCGGGGAAUUGAAGGUAACAGGGGAAUAAGCCACGGCUAACUACGUG